rnacentral:rRNA from 1 species
GACGAACGCUAGCGGCAGGCUUAACACAUGCAAGUCGAGCGGAGUGAUGGUGCUUGCACUAUCACUUAGCGGCGGACGGGUGAGUAAUGCUUAGGAAUCUGCCUAUUAGUGGGGGACAACAUCUCGAAAGGGAUGCUAAUACCGCAUACGUCCUACGGGAGAAAGCAGGGGAUCACUUGUGACCUUGCGCUAAUAGAUGAGCCUAAGUCGGAUUAGCUAGUUGGUGGGGUAAAGGCCUACCAAGGCGACGAUCCAUAGCUGGUCUGAGAGGAUGAUCAGCCACACUGGAACUGAGACACGGUCCAGACUCCUACGGGAGGCAGCAGUGGGGAAUAUUGGACAAUGGGGGCAACCCUGAUCCAGCCAUGCCGCGUGUGUGAAGAAGGCCUUCGGGUUGUAAAGCACUUUAAGCAGGGAGGAAGGCUUCACGGUUAAUAACCGUGGGGAUUGACGUUACCUGCAGAAUAAGCACCGGCUAACUCCGUGCCAGCAGCCGCGGUAACAC